GAGGAAUAUUGGGCAAUGCCCGCAAGGGUGACCCAGCAACGCCGCGUGGAGGAUGAAGGUCGUAAGAUUGUAAACUCCUGUUAGAGGGGAAGAAUAACUAAGUUUGGAGCUUAGUAUGACUGUACCCUCAGAGAAAGCCCCGGCUAACUACGUGCCAGCAGCCGCGGUAAUACGUAGGGGGCAAGCGUUGUCCGGAUUUACUGGGUGUAAAGGGCGCGCAGGCGGAAUGGAAAGUCAGUGGUGAAAUCCUACAGCUUAACUGUAGAACUGCCUUUGAUACUUUCAUUCUUGAGUUCGGGAGAGAGAGACGGAAUUCCAGGUGUAGUGGUGAAAUACGUAGAUAUCUGGAAGAACACCAGUUGCGAAGGCGGUCUCUUGGUCCGAUACUGACGCUGAGGCGCGAAAGCGUGGGGAGCAAAC
rnacentral:rRNA from 1 species